CCCUUAGAUGUCCGGGGCCGCACGCGCGCUACACUGGGGCACGUAGCGUGCGUAUUGUCACCUGGUAUCCAAUGCGUACCGGGAAACCAUAGAAAUGUGCAUCUCGUUACUGGGAUAGGGCAUUGUAAUGAUGCUCUUGAACGAGGAAUUCCUAGUAAACGCAGAUCAUCAAUCUGCAUUGAUUACGUCCCUGCCCUUUGUACACAUCGCCCGUCGCACCUACCGAUUGAAUGGUCCGGUGAAGCCUCGGGAUUGUGGCCAGUUCACUUUAUUGGGAGUUGGCUGCGAGAACUUGUCUAAACCUUAUCAUUUAGAGGAAGGUGAAGUCGUAACA
rnacentral:rRNA from 1 species